UACGUAGGUGGCGAGCGUUGUCCGGAUUUACUGGGCGUAAAGAGCGCGCAGGCGGCUGGUCAAGUCCGAUGUGAAAGCUCCCGGCUUAACUGGGAAAUUGCAUCGGAAACUGAUCGGCUGGAAGGUGGGAGAGGGUAGCGGAAUUCCCGGUGUAGUGGUGAAAUGCGUAGAUAUCGGGAGGAACACCAGUGGCGAAGGCGGUGUUCUGGGCCGGAACUGACGCUGAGGAGCGAAAGCGUGGGUAGCAAACAGG
rnacentral:rRNA from 1 species